rnacentral:lncRNA from 1 species
GAAAAUAUGAAGUGCAGUGACAAAUUUUAGUGGUCUAUAAAACAAGAUUUAUGUAAAAAAAAAAAAAAUCUUCACCACGAAGAAUUUAAUUAUGGAUAAAUCAGAUUAAUUCUUCCAUUAUAAAAUAACUAGAGGAUAACACGACAAAAUUGAGUAAAAAAAAAACCUCAAAUAUCAUCGAUCAAUUCAUAGAGCAUGGUGUUCGAAUCAAUAACGAUCGAUAUAUCGA